rnacentral:ncRNA from 1 species
ACAAAGUUUAGUCCUAACUUUACUAUUAAUUCUAACUAGACUUACACAUGCAAGUCUCAGCCCUCCAGUGACAACACCCUACCUAAAGGAGCCGAUAUCAGGCACAACAUGUUAGCCCACUACAUCUAGCCCAGCCACACCCCCAAGGGCCCGCAGCAGCGAUUAACCUUAAUAAUAAGCGCAAGCUUGACUUAGUUAUAGUUAAAAGAGUUGGUAAAUCUUGUGCCAGCCACCGCGGUUAAACAAGAAACUCUAAUUAAUAGAUUCGGCACAAAGUGUGAUCAAGAAACUAAUCAACCUUUAUAGAGCUAAAAAUUUACCCAGCCGUAAUACGCCUUAGUAAUAUAACACACACAACAUCGAAAGUGGCUCUAACACCAACGAUCAUCCCCACAUCACGAUCGCUAAGACACAAACUGGGAUUAGAUACCCCACUAUGCCUAGCCACAAAACUUGAUCAAUCUACAUCUGCCAGAGUACUACGAGCACUAGCUUAAAACUCAAAGGACUUGGCGGUGCCCCAAACCCACCCAGAGGAGCCUGUUCUAUAAUCGAUACCCCACGUUUUACCUCACCACCCUUCGUAAUCAGCCUAUAUACCACCGUCGCCAGCCAACUUCCUGAAAACCCUAUAGUUAGCUAAACUGUAAAUCACAAACACGUCAGGUCAAGGUGUAGCACACAGGGUGGAAAGAAAUGGGCUACAUUUUCUCCAAUAAGAAUCCACGAAUAAUGCAAUGAAAAAUAAUUUGAAGGCGGAUUUGGCAGUAAGAGGUGACCAUUAUGCCCCUCUUAAUUUGGCUCUGAGGCGCGCACACACCGCCCGUCACCACCUCUCAUCAAUGACUAAACCACCAUAAAUAAUAAAUAAACAAACCCUAGAUGAGGAAAGUCGUAACAUGGUAAGCGCACUGGAAAGUGCUCUUGGAUUAAC